GAUAGAUAUUAAUUUAAAAUAUUUAAUCUAAGAAUAUAAGGGUAGAGCUUUAUCAUUCAAUAAUAAAUGAAAUAUAAGUUAAUAAGUAUUUAUUUUGAUAAUUAGGUUUUUUAGUGGCCAUAUUUUUAAAGUGUUUUAACUAAUAUAAUUGAAUAAUUUAUUUAUUAGAUUUUAUUAAAUUAAUAAUAUGUUUUUUAAAAUGGAUAAAUAUUAGAAAUAAUGAAAAUAUUAGUAGAAUUAAUAUAUGAGAAAAAAGAAAAGUAUUAAAAGUAAAUAUGAAAAUAGUUAAGAAAAAAAUAGAGGAACUCGGCAAAUAAGGUUCUUGCCUGUUUAACAAAAACAUGUCUCUAUGAAGUUAUAUGAAGUCUGACCUGCCCAUUGAAAUUUAUUAAAAGGCCGCGGUAUAUUAACUGUGCAAAGGUAGCAUAAUUACUAGUUUUUUAAUUGAAGGCUUGUAUGAAAGGUUGGACAAGGGAUAAGCUGUCUUUAUUUUUAUUUUUGAAUUUGUCUUUUAAGUGAAAAGACUUAAAUAAGUUUAAGGGACGAUAAGACCCUAUAAAUCUUUAUAUUAGUUUAAUUUUAUUUUAAAUUUUAAUGUUUAAAAGAGUAAAGUUAAUAUAGUAUUGUAUUGGGGUGAUAGGAAUAAUUAGUAAACUGUUCGAAGGUAUAAACAAAAAUAUUUGAUUAUAAUUAUUAGUAGAUCCUUAGUGGAGAUUACAAGUUUAAGUUACUUUAGGGAUAACAGCGUUAUUUUUUUUGAGAGUUCUAAUCGAAAAAGAAGUUUGCGACCUCGAUGUUGAAUUAAAAUUUCUUUGUGGUGUAGUAGUUACAAGAGAGAGUCUGUUCGACUUUUAAAAUUUU
rnacentral:rRNA from 1 species